UUUCAGAUUUUGAAUAAUAACGGACGGAGAAAUAACCAGGUUGCCGAAAGAAUAAUAUCAAUUGUAUAACUCCGUCAGUGCAAUAAUCAGGCAGGCGGAUAAGUUUUGGUUGCUCAGCAGUAGCACCUUACAACUUGGGUGGGGAGGUAGUGUUGCUCGGUCCUGGUCCAGAUCUGACACAAGAGACAUGCCGAGAAAGGAAUACUCAGUUAUAAAUGUUAUCGUGAGGCGAAUCAUAAACUUAUUGCCGUGAAAUCAUGUGUAGCAGGUGUUCUGAGAGUGGUGUGUUGCAUUGAGUGUUAAUUUUGCUAAGUGUAGGACAAAUAUGUUGCAAGGAAAUGGUAACAGAUGAUUGAAUAUACAUUUUGAAUGCUGUAAUACGUCCAUGUGAUGACGAUGUUGAAGUGCUUAAAGUUCACUUCUGUGUAUCGUGAGAUCAGUGAUAACUGUUGUAUUUGGGUCAUUGAUACUAUUGGCUUUUGUGGCGUGCGUGUGCGCGUACGACAGGUUUUGCCUGCUAAUCUGAAGCGCUUCAAAAACAUGUGAAUAAUCUAGUCGGUAGGUGAAUAAGACCAAAAGAUCCCUUGAUGGAUGAUUAAGGCAGAGCCUGUGUUUUCAAAGGAUUUUACGUGCAUCUUGAGUGAGGCUACUUUGACUCAGGACCAGCAAUCACUUCACAUGCAUUGGAGGAUGUAUGAUAUGCCUCGGACGGAGUAACUACUUCCGGUUCAAUCACCCCAAGAGGCCCAGUUAAUGCGCUCGAUCUUGCCCAACACAAGGAUCAGCAUGGUGCCCAUCAACUUCUACCCGG